rfam:Epilithonimonas sp. FH1 contig05, whole genome shotgun sequence.
AGCGCGCCCCGACUUGAACGGAAAUCCUUUUUUGCGUAAUCUUAAGUUUUAUUUAGAUGGAAAUCGUCUGCAAAAAAGAUUGGGAGUGGAAGGCGGAAAAAGGC